CAGGCCUAACACAUGCAAGUCGAGCGGACAUAUCCUUCGGGAUAGGUUAGCGGCGGACGGGUGAGUAACACGUAGGCAACCUGCCUGUAAGAUCGGGAUAACUACCGGAAACGGUAGCUAAGACCGGAUAGCUGGUUUCUCCGCAUGGGGGAAUCAUGAAACAUGGGGCAACCUAUGGCUUACGGAUGGGCCUGCGGCGCAUUAGCUAGUUGGUGGGGUAAUGGCCCACCAAGGCGACGAUGCGUAGCCGACCUGAGAGGGUGAUCGGCCACACUGGGACUGAGACACGGCCCAGACUCCUACGGGAGGCAGCAGUAGGGAAUCUUCCGCAAUGGGCGCAAGCCUGACGGAGCAACGCCGCGUGAGUGAUGAAGGUUUUCGGAUCGUAAAGCUCUGUUGCCAAGGAAGAACGCCUCGGAGAGUAACUGCUCUGAGGGUGACGGUACUUGAGAAGAAAGCCCCGGCUAACUACGUGCCAGCAGCCGCGGUAAUACGUAGGGGGCAAGCGUUGUCCGGAAUUAUUGGGCGUAAAGCGCGCGCAGGCGGUCUUUUAAGUUUGGUGUUUAAGCCCGGGGCUCAACCCCGGUUCGCACUGAAAACUGGGAGACUUGAGUGCAGGAGAGGAAAGCGGAAUUCCACGUGUAGCGGUGAAAUGCGUAGAGAUGUGGAGGAACACCAGUGGCGAAGGCGGCUUUCUGGACUGUAACUGACGCUGAGGCGCGAAAGCGUGGGGAGCAAACAGGAUUAGAU
rnacentral:rRNA from 1 species